GCCAGGAUGGCAGAGUGGCUUAUGCGCCGGGCUGCAGACCCGGAGACGGGAGUUCAAUUCUCCCUCCUGGCU
rnacentral:tRNA from 1 species